UACGGAGGGUGCGAGCGUUACCCGGAUUUACUGGGCGUAAAGGGCGUGUAGGCGGUUAUGUAAGUCCGAUGUGAAAGACCGAAGCUCAACUUCGGGGACGCGUUGGAUACUGCAAGACUAGACGGCUGGAGGGGGUAGCGGAAUUUCCGGAGUAGCGGUGAAAUGCGCAGAUACCGGAAGGAACGCCAAUAGCGAAGGCAGCUACCUGGACAGCACGUGACGCUGAGGCGCGAAAGCGUGGGGAGCAAACCGGAUUAGAUACCCGGGUAGUCCACGCCCUAAACGAUGAGUGCUGGGUGUCCGGCGUAUGCUGGGUGCCGAAGCUAACGCGUUAAGCACUCCGCCUGGGAAGUACGGUCGCAAGACUGAA
rnacentral:rRNA from 1 species